rnacentral:rRNA from 1 species
AUGAACGCUAGCUACAGGCUUAACACAUGCAAGUCGAGGGGCAGCAUGAACUUAGCUUGCUAAGUUUGAUGGCGACCGGCGCACGGGUGAGUAACACGUAUCCAACCUGCCGAUGACUCGGGGAUAGCCUUUCGAAAGAAAGAUUAAUACCCGAUGGCAUAGUUCUUCCGCAUGGUAGAACUAUUAAAGAAUUUCGGUCAUCGAUGGGGAUGCGUUCCAUUAGGUUGUUGGCGGGGUAACGGCCCACCAAGCCUUCGAUGGAUAGGGGUUCUGAGAGGAAGGUCCCCCACAUUGGAACUGAGACACGGUCCAAACUCCUACGGGAGGCAGCAGUGAGGAAUAUUGGUCAAUGGACGAGAGUCUGAACCAGCCAAGUAGCGUGAAGGAUGACUGCCCUAUGGGUUGUAAACUUCUUUUAUACGGGAAUAAAGUGAGGCACGUGUGCCUUUUUGUAUGUACCGUAUGAAUAAGGAUCGGCUAACUCCGUGCCAGCAGCCGCGGUAAUACGGAGGAUCCGAGCGUUAUCCGGAUUUAUUGGGUUUAAAGGGAGCGUAGGCGGACGCUUAAGUCAGUUGUGAAAGUUUGCGGCUCAACCGUAAAAUUGCAGUUGAUACUGGGUGUCUUGAGUACAGUAGAGGCAGGCGGAAUUCGUGGUGUAGCGGUGAAAUGCUUAGAUAUCACGAAGAACUCCGAUUGCGAAGGCAGCCUGCUGGACUGUAACUGACGCUGAUGCUCGAAAGUGUGGGUAUCAAACAGGAUUAGAUACCCUGGUAGUCCACACAGUAAACGAUGAAUACUCGCUGUUUGCGAUAUACAGUAAGCGGCCAAGCGAAAGCGUUAAGUAUUCCACCUGGGGAGUACGCCGGCAACGGUGAAACUCAAAGGAAUUGACGGGGGCCCGCACAAGCGGUGGAGUAUGUGGUUUAAUUCGACGCAACGCGAAGAACCUUACCAAAUCUUGACAUCCCUCUGACAGAGUAUGUAAUGUACUUUUCCUUCGGGACAGGGGAGACAGGUGGUGCAUGGUUGUCGUCAGCUCGUGUCGUGAGAUGUUGGGUUAAGUCCCGCAACGAGCGCAACCCCUGUGAUUAGUUGCCAGCGAGUAAUGUCGGGAACUCUAAUCAAACUGCCGGUGAUAAAUCGGAGGAAGGUGGGGACGACGUCAAAUCAUCAUGCCCUUUAUGUCUUGGGCUACACACGUACUACAAUGGCUAUAACAAAGAGAAGCGAGACAGUGAUGUGGAGCAAAACUCAAAAAAAUAGUCUCAGUUCGGAUUGAAGGCUGAAAUUCGCCUUCAUGAAGCUGGAAUUGCUAGUAAUCGCGGAUCAGCACGCCGCGGUGAAUACGUUCCCGGGCCUUGUACACACCGCCCGUCACACCAUGAGAGUUGGAAAUACCCGAAGCCUGUGAGCUAACCUAUGAGGCAGCAGUCGAAGGUAGAGCCAAUGAUUGGGGUG